ACUUAUAUAAUGUGUUGCUGAUAUAUGAUGGCAGGGACGGUUAAUUAAGCAUUCCAAUCCUCAGCCAUGGCCGUGGACACUACUCAACCGGAGUACUGGCUCAACUGGAGGUUCUUGCUGUGCGCGCUCUGGGUCUACUCCUGCAUGGCCUUGGCAUUCUUCUUGAUUAAGAAGUACGAGGGGGCCAGUUCACCGGACAGCAAUGGCGAUGACGGUGGAGACAGAGAAGAGGCGUUACCACGUGUCAGACCUGGUGUUGUUUAUCUUGAAGAUUGCUGGAAGACAUGCCUUGAGGGUAUCCACCCUGGCUGGCUGCUGGCAUUUCGCGUUGUGGCCUUCUUCGUUUUGGCUUCGCUGCUCGUGGUCGACAUCAUUACUGAGAGAUUCCCUCUGGCUUGUGAUGCUACAUGCCCAGCAAGUUUCUUAGUUUCUAUGUUGAAUUAGUUGAAGCUAGAAGGCCAGAGUUGGUGAUUUGGGUUCUGCGAUUUUGGUCUCAGGUCUGAUGGGGCGGAGCCGCACCUGAUGAAUAUCCAGUUCCAGAAGAAGAUGCAGCUGCAGGUGCCUACUUCAGUAGGGAUGCUAUUCCCUCUGGCUUGUGAUGCUACACGCCCAGCAAGAUCUCCAUCCGGGCUGGUGAUGGCUUCCACAACCUCAAGCUGGUAUUUCGGUGUUUCCAAAUGGCCCAGCAGCAAAGAUGGACGAGAGCGCUCUGGUGUCGUGGGGCAGCAGGUGCAGGUCCUGGGGGGGAUUUGGACCCCGACGCUGUGCCAGAAGGAAGCUGCAUAGUGGAACCAGAGGAAGAUGUGGUAGCAGUCUUCGUCUGCUUGAAGGCAGAGGUCACAGAUGGGGUUGGCAAUCACACCUUUCUCGACCAAGCUUACUUUGUGCUUGAUUUUGCUUUGAUUGAGGAGCCACAUAAAGAGCUUCAACCGUUCCACACAAAGUCAGGCUCCUCUAGGUUGGGGGCUGACAGAGAUUGGAUCAUUGUGUAAAGGGCUCCGGAGUGCAACUUGCCAGUGAUGUCAAUGAGGGGACUCCGGAGCUGAUCUGGCAGAUCAGUGAUAUCGACGUUGUUCAGAGCAAGUUGGAGAAUGGCCAUCUCCCGUUGGGCAGUUCGACUGAGACGAGUUCUCAGGUUGUUGAUCAUACCAGUUUGCAUAACCUGGCUAACAAUUGGUUCAACAUCUGUCACAUGGUUGCAGAGAGCAGGCAGGUGUUCCACGAUCGGGCCAAAGGGGAGCCAGACGUCCAACCAUAACGAUGUGGUCGUGCCAUUUCCAACACAGACCGAAGUGAUGGCCCGGUACAGGGGGAGAAGGGUCUGGAGGUGGUUCCAGUGAUCCCCUGCAGGUUUGUUCCUGUCAUCGGAUUGGGCCCAAGCCACCCAGGAUGACAGAGCAGGUUGGUGUAGACGAUGGAUGAGCUUGAGGAGGCAGGUAUUCCCACAGGAAAAUAUAUACUAUGACAGUUACGUGCUUUGACAGUGUAAGAUACAUGUUACAUGAAGUAAUUUUAUAGCAUUUAGUUAGCUUUGUAUGAAACCACCUCCAAAAGCUAGCAUUCCUUCCGGCGGCCAGCUGUUUGUUUAAAGCUAGCUAGCUAGCAGAGAGAGAUGGAUCACUUGUUCUUGCACUCCCUGCUGUCGUCUGUGUAUAUGAUCCGGCUGGCCAGGAAUCUAUCACUUCAUCAUCAAGUCGAAUCGCA